GUAAGGAAUAUUGGUCAAUGGACGCAAGUCUGAACCAGCCAUGCCGCGUGGAGGAUGAAGGUCCUCUGGAUUGUAAACUUCUUUUAUCUGGGAAGAAACCCACAUUAUCCAGUGUGGUUGACGGUACCAGAUGAAUAAGCACCGGCUAACUCCGUGCCAGCAGCCGCGGUAAUACGGAGGGUGCAAGCGUUAUCCGGAUUCACUGGGUUUAAAGGGUGCGUAGGCGGGUUGGUAAGUCCGUGGUGAAAUCCCCAAGCUUAACUUGGGAACUGCCGUGGAUACUAUCAAUCUUGAAUAUCGUGGAGGUAAGCGGAAUAUGUCAUGUAGCGGUGAAAUGCUUAGAUAUGACAUAGAACACCAAUUGCGUAGGCAGCUUACUACACGAUCAUUGACGCUGAGGCACGAAAGCGUGGGGAGCAAACAGG
rnacentral:rRNA from 1 species